rnacentral:rRNA from 1 species
AGAGUUUGAUCCUGGCUCAGGAUGAACGCUGGCGGUCUGCUUAACACAUGCAAGUCGAACGGGCUCUUCGGAGCUAGUGGCGGACGGGUGAGUAACGCGUGAGAAUCUGCCUUCAGGAGGGGGAUAACGACUGGAAACGGUCGCUAAUACCCCAUAUGCCUCCGGGUGAAAAGUAAUUCGCCUGAAGAUGAGCUCGCGUCAGAUUAGCUAGUUGGUGGGGUAAGAGCCUACCAAGGCGACGAUCUGUAGCUGGUCUGAGAGGAUGAUCAGCCACACUGGGACUGAGACACGGCCCAGACUCCUACGGGAGGCAGCAGUGGGGAAUUUUCCGCAAUGGGCGCAAGCCUGACGGAGCAAGACCGCGUGGGGGAUGACGGCCUAAUGGUUGUAAACCCCUUUUCUCUGGGAAGAAGACUGACGGUACCAGAGGAAUCAGCCUCGGCUAACUCCGUGCCAGCAGCCGCGGUAAUACGGAGGAGGCAAGCGUUAUCCGGAAUUAUUGGGCGUAAAGCGUCCGUAGGUGGUUAUUCAAGUCUGCUGUCAAAGCGUGGGGCUCAACUCCAUAGAGGCAGUGGAAACUGAGUGACUAGAGUGCGGUA